rnacentral:rRNA from 1 species
UAGUCCAUGCCGUAAACGAUGUCUACUAGCCGUUGGGGCCUUUGAGGCUUUAGUGGCGCAGCUAACGCGAUAAGUAGACCGCCUGGGGAGUACGGUCGCAAGACUAAAACUCAAAUGAAUUGACGGGGGCCCGCACAAGCGGUGGAGCAUGUGGUUUAAUUCGAUGCAACGCGAAGAACCUUACCUGGCCUUGACAUAGUAAGAACUUUCCAGAGAUGGAUUGGUGCCUUCGGGAACUUACAUACAGGUGCUGCAUGGCUGUCGUCAGCUCGUGUCGUGAGAUGUUGGGUUAAGUCCCGCAACGAGCGCAACCCUUUUCCUUAUUUGCCAGCGAGUAAUGUCGGGAACUUUAAGGAUACUGCCGGUGACAAACCGGAGGAAGGUGGGGAUGACGUCAAGUCAUCAUGGGCCCUUAGGGGUAGGGGCUACACACGUGCUACAAUGGGUCGGUACAGAGGGGUUGCGAAGCCGCGAGGUGGAGCUAAUCUCAC